CAUUUAUUUAAGGAAUUUAACAGAUAAAAGAAAAGGAUUUAAAGAGUUAAGAGAAACUGAUUGUGUUUGUGUGCGUGCAUGUGUGUAUGUGUUCGUAUUUGGGCAUAUAUCUGUGAGUAAGUGCACAUGUGUGUGUGUGCCUGUGUGUAUAGUUAUAUCUCUGUACAUGAGUGUAUGUGUGUGUUCAUGUAUGCAUGCACACAUGUGUGUGUGUCUGCAUUUUUUUUUUCUCCAGCAGUGAUCAUUUCUGGUCCAGUGUCUUGACUGGCACCAAGUCAAGCAUUGUCCUCCACGUCAUCAGCUGCAGGCCAGAUAAUCUAAGAUGAUGCCAAACAGUCACUGCAGAAGAAUUUGCUGCACGGAGCUGUCUGGGAUGCCUCAGACCUGCCAGCGGUAGAGCUGCCUGCCUUGCUUCCUCUUGCUUACUCACAGCUCUAAGUCUGAACUUGGCUGCAGCUGUCCUGAACAGCCCAGGAGGAGCCUAGGCAGGAGGAGGCUUCUCUCCUAUGCAAUUUGGCUGAAUUUUAGUUACUCAAAAGAGCAAAGGAAGCACUUCUGAAUAUUCGUCAGGAGGAGCCAACCACCUUAGCUUGCUCCCUGAUGGGUUUUGUUCAGCCCCUGCCUUACUGUUGUCAGCCUGGACUGUCUUCUGGGCUUGGGUUCACCAUGUGUCUGGACCACGGGAGUGUCUCUAGGUGUCUCCCUUCCUGUGCAUUUCUCCUGGGCAUAGACACCCAUCCUGUGGAACACUGGGAGGAGGGUGCAAGACCCCACUGCACCCAGGCUUGGUUCCUCUUGGGUGCAGCAGCCUCAUCCCCUUGCAAGCCUUCCUCCCACUCCUCCCAGAAGGCUCUGCUUCCUCCACUUGCUCCUCUCCUAGGUGUGAGCCAGCAGGGUUUGGUCACCCAGAUAUGAAGUAUUAAUGUUGGACUCCUGUCUGGAGUCGGGAGUCUAUUAAGGAAGACGUGUGGGAGAGGCCUGUGUUCAAGGCCCUUAGAACCAUUCUGCCUGAGCCAUCAGCUCCUUAAAAAGAAAUCACCAAAGAUCCCAAACAAUGGCAGAGUCCCCCUCCCACCCUUUGGGCUACUUGGUAAAUAGGCCCACCAAUUCUAUCUCCAAAAUAUCUCCCAUCAGGACCAUGUGUAUAUUGACAUCUUUAUCUUCCAUCAGGUCAGGGUUGCCACAAAAGCCUCCAUCCAAAUUUCCUGAAAAAGCCCAGUUUCUCUAAAUGUGUGCAUGAACACGGUGCUGGGCAUGGCCCUCUCCUCUCAGUCCUUCUGCAACGCCCAGUGCCUUCACAGCCAAGGCCAGACUUCCUAGUGGAAGAGCAAAGUCCCUCCUGACACGGCUUCUGCUUGCAUCUGCAGCCCCACUUCCCCCACACCACGCUGCACCCUGAGCUCCUCACGGAGAGCCACCGUGUUUCACACCUGCCGUGCUCUGGGCCAGGUCGCUGGGCUUGCUGGUCCUUAGACUUGGAGCACCUGAUGCUGUUUGCCCAUCUGUGUCCUUGUCAGCCUUUGAGAAUUGGAUCUGGCAGCCCCUCCUCAGGAAGCCCAUGAGAGCCUCCGCCCCAUACUCACACAGACCCUGAGCUAGGUGGCCCCUGCCUGUGUCCCUCAGCUCCCAGCCCAGCUUCCAUGCAGCUUUAGCACAGUUUACCAGCACCAUCAAGACCCCUCUGGGAGGACAGAGAGCUCUGGGAGGACAGAGAGCUCUGAAGGACAGAACACGCAUGCCUUUCUGGUUGUUCCUCUGAAGCCUAGCACAACACUGACACGUGAGAAAUACUGGCUGAAUAAAAGGUGGAAGUGAAAAAGAACAACACUGACACGUGAGAAAUACUGGCUGAAUAAAAGGUGGAAGUGAAAAAGAAAGACAAGAAAGGAGGAUAGAAGGAAGCAGAGUGGUUGGGAGGAAGGGAGGGGGGAAUAGCUUUUCAAGGAAAAAUGAUGGAUGGUAUGAGAAUGAAGGGGAGAUGACUAUUUCCUACAGAAAAUUUCUAUUGUCAUUAAUAAUGACUUUUGGCAUCACUCUUUUGUUUCUCAUUUUCUAGACUCCACAUUUAAGGCCUAUCUAGUGUAAAUCGAGG
rnacentral:lncRNA from 10 species